rnacentral:rRNA from 1 species
CAGCCGCCGCGGUAAUACGGAGGAUCCGAGCGUUAUCCGGAUUUAUUGGGUUUAAAGGGUGCGUAGGUGGCCUGUUAAGUCAGGGGUGAAAGACGGUAGCUCAACUAUCGCAGUGCCCUUGAUACUGACGGGCUUGAAUGAACUAGAGGUAGGCGGAAUGUGACAAGUAGCGGUGAAAUGCAUAGAUAUGUCACAGAACACCAAUUGCGAAGGCAGCUUACUAUGGUUUGAUUGACACUGAGGCACGAAAGCGUGGGGAUCAAACAGGAUUAGAUACCCGAGUAGUCCCUGUCUCUUAUAC